UGAGGAAUAUUGGUCAAUGGACGCAAGUCUGAACCAGCCAUGCCGCGUGCAGGAUGACGGCUCUAUGAGUUGUAAACUGCUUUUAUACGAGAAUAAGGGUAGAUACGUGUAUUUAUUUGAAUGUAUCGUAUGAAUAAGGAUCGGCUAACUCCGUGCCAGCAGCCGCGGUAAUACGGAGGAUUCGAGCGUUAUCCGGAUUUACUGGGUGUAAAGGGCGAGUAGGCGGGCUUGUAAGUCAGAUGUGAAAUCUGGGGGCUCAACCCCCAAACUGCAUUUGAAACUAUGAGUCUUGAGUGAUGGAGAGGCAGGCGGAAUUCCCGGUGUAGCGGUGGAAUGCGUAGAUAUCGGGAGGAACACCAGUGGCGAAGGCGGCCUGCUGGACAUUAACUGACGCUGAGGAGCGAAAGCGUGGGGAGCAAACA
rnacentral:rRNA from 1 species